rnacentral:misc_RNA from 1 species
AGCAGCCGCGGUAAUUCCAGCUCCAAUAGCGUAUAUUAAAGUUGUUGCAGUUAAAAGCUCGUAGUUGAAUUUCGGGAUUGACACAUCGGUCGUGCCUUAAGGGGUAUGAACUGGUGUAGUCAAUUUCUCACCUUCUGGAGAACCGCGAUGCCCUUAAUUGGGUGUCGCGGGGAACCAGGACCUUUACUUUGAAAAAUUAGAGUGUUUAAAGCAGGCAUUUUGCUUGAAUACAUUAGCAUGGAAUAAUAAAAUAGGACGGCAUGAUUCUAUUUUGUUGGUUUCUAGGAUCACCGUAAUGAUUAAUAGGGAUAGUUGGGGGCAUUAGUAUUCAAUUGUCAGAGGUGAAAUUCUUGGAUUUAUUGAAGACUAACUACUGCGAAAGCAUUUGCCAAGGAUGUUUUCAUUAAUCAAGAACGAAAGUUAGGGAUCGAAGACGAUCAGAUACCGUGUAGUCUUAACCAUAAACUAUGCCGACUAGGAAUCAGACGAUGUUAAUUUUUAAUGUACUUCGUUUGGCUAC